ACAUCCAAACUGGACGCACUCUCUGGUACAAAGCACGAAGGCAGGCGUCUUGUUUGGGUGUGA
rnacentral:pre_miRNA from 1 species